AUGCUCGCUCACACACCACAGUCCUACCUCUGCUCCGCCUCGAAGUCUCCCGGGAUUAACCAUGCUCGUCCUCUGAAUCGUAGCAUCUACGGUCCUGUCCAUGAUGUGCGCAUCCCCUACCAGCAGAACCACAUGUUUGGGUUCGUCACCUUCGUCUACAAGGAGAAGGGCAAGGUCCCCGGCAAGUUCAGGAAGCAGAAGGGCGAGACGGUGGACUUCUCUACCUGCGGGUCUCCCAACUAUUGUAUCUACUUGAUUGUCUUCUGUUAUCCAGAUCGAAAUUGUCCUAAGAAUGAGGCAACACUCGGAGGUGGCACCUACACAUGA
rnacentral:rRNA from 1 species